GACUAGUCCAAGUGCAGUGGUAUUUACAACUAAUUGAUCACAACCAGUUACAGAUUCCUUUGUUCCAUCUCCACUCCCACUGCUUCACUUGACCAGCCUUAA
rnacentral:Y_RNA from 1 species